AUGUAUCACUCGUACGCUGUGGUUUCUCCGCGCCGUCCACGCCCACCUGACGACUGCUCGCUACGUUUAUUAGCC
rnacentral:sRNA from 1 species